AUUGAACGCUGGCGGCAUGCCUUACACAUGCAAGUCGAACGGCAGCACGGGAGCAAUCCUGGUGGCGAGUGGCGAACGGGUGAGUAAAGUAUCGGAACGUGCCCAGUCGUGGGGGAUAACGUAGCGAAAGCUACGCUAAUACCGCAUACGAUCUAUGGAUGAAAGCGGGGGAUCGCAAGACCUCGCGCGAUUGGAGCGGCCGAUAUCAGAUUAGGUAGUUGGUGGGGUAAAGGCCUACCAAGCCGACGAUCUGUAGCUGGUCUGAGAGGACGACCAGCCACACGGGGACUGAGACGCGGCCCAGACUCAUACGGGAGGCAGCAGUGGGGUAUUUUGGACAAUGGGCGCAAGCCUGAUCCAGCAAUGCCGCGUGCAGGAUGAAGGCCUUCGGGUUGUAAACUGCUUUUGUACGGAGCGAAACGGCUUCCACUAAUACUGGGGGCUAAUGACGGUACCGUAAGAAUAAGCACCGGCUAACUACGUGCCAGCCGCCGCCGUAA
rnacentral:rRNA from 1 species